UUAGGGUUAACAUGGAACAGAUAUUGGGCGUAAGAGCUCGUAGGCGGUUUGUCGCGUCUGCUGUGAAAGACCGGGGCUCAACUCCGGUUCUGCAGUGGGUACGGGCAGACUAGAGUGCAGUAGGGGAGACUGGAAUUCCUGGUGUAGCGGUGAAAUGCGCAGAUAUCAGGAGGAACACCGAUGGCGAAGGCAGGUCUCUGGGCUGUAACUGACGCUGAGGAGCGAAAGCAUGGGGAGCGAACAGGAUUAGAUACCCUGGUAGUCCAUGCCGUAAACGUUGGGCACUAGGUGUGGGGGACAUUCCACGUUUUCCGCGCCGUAGCUAACGCAUUAAGUGCCCCGCCUGGGGAGUACGGCCGCAAGGCUAAAACUCAAAGGAAUUGACGGGGGCCCGCACAAGCGGCGGAGCAUGCGGAUUAAUUCGAUGCAACGCGAAGAACCUUACCAAGGCUUGACAUGAACCGGUAAUACCUGGAAACAGGUGCCCCGCUUGCGGUCGGUUUACAGGUGGUGCAUGGUUGUCGUCAGCUCGUGUCGUGAGAUGUUGGGUUAAGUCCCGCAACGAGCGCAACCCUCGUUCUAUGUUGCCAGCGCGUUAUGGCGGGGACUCAUAGGAGACUGCCGGGGUCAACUCGGAGGAAGGUGGGGACGACGUCAAAUCAUCAUGCCCCUUAUGUCUUGGGCUUCACGCAUGCUACAAUGGCCGGUACAAAGGGUUGCGAUACUGUGAGGUGGAGCUAAUCCCAAAAAGCCGGUCUCAGUUCGGAUUGGGGUCUGCAACUCGACCCCAUGAAGUCGGAGUCGCUAGUAAUCGCAGAUCAGCAACGCUGCGGUGAAUACGUUCCCGGGCCUUGUACACACCGCCCGUCAAGUCACGAAAGUUGGUAACACCCGAAGCCGGUGGCCUAACCCUUGUGGGGGGGAGCCGUCGAAAGGUGGGACCGGCGAUUGGGACUAAGUCGUAACAAAGUUAGCCAAAU
rnacentral:rRNA from 1 species